rnacentral:tRNA from 1 species
GGCUCUAUAGUAUAAAGGUUAUUACGCCCGACUGUCUAUCGGAAAAUUUGGGUUCGAUUCCCAAUAGAGUCG